CCCUUAGAUGUUCUGGGCUGCACGCGCGCUACACUGAAGCGUUCAACGAGUAUUCACCUUGCCCGGGAGGGUUGGGUAAUCUUUUGAAAACGCUUCGUGAUGGGGAUAGAUUAUUGCAAUUAUUAAUCUUCAACGAGGAAUGCCUAGUAAGCGCAAGUCAUCAGCUUGCGUUGAUUACGCCCCUGCCCUUUGUACACACCGCCCGUCGCUCCUACCGAUUGAAUGGUCCGGUGAAGCGUUCGGACCGUGGCCUUUGGACGGUUCGCCGUCUGUUGGCUGCGGGAAGUUCGUUAAACCUUAUCAUUUAGAGGAAGGAGAANUCGUAACA
rnacentral:rRNA from 1 species